AUUGCUGGCGACCGGCGCACGGGUGAGUAACACGUAUCCAACCUGCCCUUUACUCGGGGAUAGCCUUUCGAAAGAAAGAUUAAUACCCGAUGGCAUAAUGAUUCCGCAUGGUUUCAUUAUUAAAGGAUUCCGGUAAAGGAUGGGGAUGCGUUCCAUUAGGUUGUUGGUGAGGUAACGGCCCACCAAGCCUUCGAUGGAUAGGGGUUCUGAGAGGAAGGUCCCCCACAUUGGAACUGAGACACGGUCCAA
rnacentral:rRNA from 1 species